rnacentral:misc_RNA from 1 species
GAUGAAGAACGUAGUGAAAUGCGAUACGUAGUGUGAAUUGCAGAAUUCCGUGAACCAUCGAAUCUUUGAACGCAAAUUGCGCUCGAGGCCUCGGCCAAGAGCAUGUCUGCCUCAGCGUCGGCUACUACCCUCAACUAAGUUUCCUAUACACAUAGGGGAUGCCGGUUGGAUCUGGCCGUCCGGUUUGCCUUUUAGGUUGCCGGUCAGCUGAAAUACAUUCACGCUCUGGGGGCUGCUUUCCUUCCGAGGAGAGGCGAGUUCCGAUUUGGUAGGUGACCUUUGCCGGUUGCAUGCCUUCGUUGCCCGCUAAGCUUUCCAGUAUGCGUUGUGCAGGACGCCUUUUGGCUUUCGACCUGAGGUCAGGCAAGAACACCCGCUGAACUUAAGCAUAUCAAUAAGCGGAGGA